UUAGAGAGAGGGGAGUCGAACCCCAAUUAAAAAAUCCAAAAUCUUCCGUAUUACCAACUGUACUACUCACUA
rnacentral:tRNA from 1 species